rnacentral:rRNA from 1 species
CGAGGCGCGCUACAUGCAGUCGACGCGUAGCAAUCUGAGUGGCAAACGGGUGAGUAUAAUGUGGGAAUCUGCCUUUUGGUUUGGAAUAACACGGGGAAACUUGUGCUAAUACCGAAUAAGCCCUUACGGGGAAAGUUUUAACGCCGAAAGAUGAGCCUGCACUUGAUUAGCUAGUUGGUAAGGUAAAAGCUUACCAAGGCAACGAUCAAUAGCUGUUCUUAGAGGAAGACCAGCCACAUUGGGACUGAGACACGGCCCAAACUCCUACGGGAGGCAGCAGUGGGGAAUCUUGCACAAUGGGGGAAACCCUGAUGCAGCGAUGCCGCGUGAGUGAAGAAGGCCCUUGGGUUGUAAAACUCUUUCGUCGGGGAAGAAAAUGACUGUACCCGAAUAAGAAGGUCCGGCUAACUUCGUGCCAGCAGCCGCGGUAAUACGAAGGGACCUAGCGUAGUUCGGAAUUACUGGGCUUAAAGAGCUCGUAGGUGGUUAAAAAAGUUGAUGGUGAAAUCCCAAGGCUCAACCUUGGAACUGCCAUCAAAACUUUUUAGCUAGAGUGUGAUAGAGGUAAGUGGAAUUUCUAGUGUAGAGGUGAAAUUCGUAGAUAUUAGAAAGAACACCAAAUGCGAAGGCAACUUACUGGGUCACUACUGACACUGAGGAGCGAAAGCAUGGGUAGCGAAGAGGAUUAGAUACCCUCGUAGUCCAUGCCGUAAACGAUGUGUGCUAGACGUUGGAAAUAUAUUUUUCAGUGUCGCAGCGAAAGCAUUAAGCACACCGCCUGGGGAGUACGACCGCAAGGUUAAAACUCAAAUGAAUUGACGGGGACCCGCACAAGCAGUGGAGCAUGUGGUU